rnacentral:rRNA from 1 species
AUUGAACGCUGGCGGCAGGCCUAACACAUGCAAGUCGAGCGGAUGAAGGGAGCUUGCUCCUGGAUUCAGCGGCGGACGGGUGAGUAAUGCCUAGGAAUCUGCCUGGUAGUGGGGGAUAACGUCCGGAAACGGGCGCUAAUACCGCAUACGUCCUGAGGGAGAAAGUGGGUGAUCUUCGGACCUCACGCUAUCAGAUGAGCCUAGGUCGGAUUAGCUAGUUGGUGGGGUAAAGGCCUACCAAGGCGACGAUCCGUAACUGGUCUGAGAGGAUGAUCAGUCACACUGGAACUGAGACACGGUCCAGACUACUACGGGAGGCCGCAGUGGGGAAUAUUGGACAAUGGGCGAAAGCCUGAUCCAGCCAUGCCGCGUGUGUGAAGAAGGUCUUCGGAUUGUAAAGCACUUUAAGUUGGGAGGAAGGGCAGUAAGUUAAUACCUUGCUGUUUUGACGGUACCAACAGAAUAAGCACCGGCUAACUUCGUG